GAGUUUGAUCAUGGCUCAGAUUGAACGCUGGCGGCAGGCCUAACACAUGCAAGUCGAGCGGAAACGAGUUAUCUGAACCUUCGGGGAACGAUAACGGCGUCGAGCGGCGGACGGGUGAGUAAUGCCUAGGAAAUUGCCUUGAUGUGGGGGAUAACCAUUGGAAACGAUGGCUAAUACCGCAUAAUGCCUACGGGCCAAAGAGGGGGACCUUCGGGCCUCUCGCGUCAGGAUAUGCCUAGGUGGGAUUAGCUAGUUGGUGAGGUAAUGGCUCACCAAGGCGACGAUCCCUAGCUGGUCUGAGAGGAUGAUCAGCCACACUGGAACUGAGACACGGUCCAGACUCCUACGGGAGGCAGCAGUGGGGAAUAUUGCACAAUGGGCGCAAGCCUGAUGCAGCCAUGCCGCGUGUGUGAAGAAGGCCUUCGGGUUGUAAAGCACUUUCAGUCGUGAGGAAGGUAGUGUAGUUAAUAGCUGCAUUAUUUGACGUUAGCGACAGAAGAAGCACCGGCUAACUCCGUGCCAGCAGCCGCGGUAAUACGGAGGGUGCGAGCGUUAAUCGGAAUUACUGGGCGUAAAGCGCAUGCAGGUGGUUUGUUAAGUCAGAUGUGAAAGCCCGGGGCUCAACCUCGGAAUUGCAUUUGAAACUGGCAGACUAGAGUACUGUAGAGGGGGGUAGAAUUUCAGGUGUAGCGGUGAAAUGCGUAGAGAUCUGAAGGAAUACCGGUGGCGAAGGCGGCCCCCUGGACAGAUACUGACACUCAGAUGCGAAAGCGUGGGGAGCAAACAGGAUAAGAUACCCUGGUAGUCCACGCCGUAAACGAUGUCUACUUGGAGGUUGUGGCCUUGAGCCGUGGCUUUCGGAGCUAACGCGUUAAGUANACCGCCUGGGGAGUACNGUCGCNAGAUUAAAACUCAAAUGAAUUGA
rnacentral:rRNA from 1 species